rnacentral:lncRNA from 12 species
AUGAGGCUUAAUCAUCGUCGAGCGAGAGGAGAAGGCUUGUUUGGGGAAGGGCAGCAAGCUUUGCCUGGUGUACUGGUGGUGCUGGGACAGUUAUGUAGAUGUUUGCUAUCUUUUCCACCCCUCCAUAGUAUCAUCCUCUUUUUCUGCUGGGUCGACUCCUUCUCAUCCUCUAACACCCUGGGCUGCACUCAUGACAUUCUUUUGUCUGGUUCUGCGGUGAGCUUCCGGAUUCAAGGAUCAGAUUCAUCUAUCUCAACCUGAGUGUCCGGAGGGAGGAACGCUGAAGUUUCAAGGUAUCACACAGCAUCUUUACUCCACUAUACCGCAAGGAAUUCUGGCCCAGGUCUGAUUCUAAGAAUCAGAAUAUAACGAUAAAAUGGGAUUCCUAAAUUUCAUAACCUAAAAGGUAUGUGUUCCCAGCAUGAAUAUCUGUUUAAUACAUGAAUUCAUUAAGUCUAGAAGACUGGGAGGCAACGAUUUUUAAAAAAAAAAAAAAAAAAAAAAAAAAAAAAAAAAAAAAAAAAAAAAAGGAUGAAUACCUGUACUAUUUAAAAUACAUCUCCAGCAGUUAGUAACUCCUCGACAAUAUAUUUACUGAUAGCUGGAGACCUUGCUGACAUUAGUUUUAUGGGAAAAAAAAAAUCUACCACCAGGGGACCCAUCAUGUUGCUGCCAUCUGCACAAAUUUGUAGAGGAAAGGGAAGAUGGGAGGGCGAUAGCCAGCCUGAAAUCUUUCCUGGUGGCCAGUCUCAAUGCAGGUGAGGUGGGGGCUGGGAAUGUGAUGCUCCAAGGUUUGUUUCUUCCUCUUUUUUAUUCUGGACCAAUACUUGUCCCCACAAAUUAGAAGAAAGAGAAGAGAAAUAUUUAGCAGGCAGAGAGGAAGAGAAGGAAGAAAAGCAAAAGGGUUGUAAGUAAAAACCAGGGUGGAAAAACUUCUAGAAAAGUGUUUUCCAUGCACUCAGAAGUCAGGGGAUGACAUGAACCCUCCUAAAUGCCUAGGACACUAUUUCACCUUUCUUCAGUGAGUUUUGGAGUCCUGAGCAGGGGGACAUUUCUUCUCUAACAUGAGUAACAUACACAAAAGUACACGAAGUACAGAGAAACUCCAGUGAAUCAACCUGCUGCAUUCAAGAUGGCCUCUGGGGCAGUUGGAGUCAGGAGUAUUGAGAGGUGGUUUUACAGUGUCCUAACAUCAACUGUUUUUUGUGUGUUUUUAUAUUUUUAAUCGAAAUGUAUUUGACAUAUAACCUGUGAAUUUUACGUGUACAGCAUGUUAAUCUGAUACGUUCGCAUACUAUGGUUGCCAUUGUAGGGGUAACUAGCACCACUAUCAUUGUUCUUUCUUUUUAGUUGUUGACAAAUUAAGUCCUCGGCUCCUAGCAAGUUCGAUGCUUAUAGUACAGUAUUGUUGUGUGUAUUCUUAUACUGUGCAUUAGAGCUCUAGGGCUUAUUUACUACUGGUUGUAAGUGUGUACCCUUAGAUAACAUCUGUCUCGCUCUAUCGCCUCCGUCUCCUGGAGGAGUGGGAUAGAUUUACUGUCUGUUUUCAUGAGUUUAGGUUUUUCAGAUUCCACGUGUAAGUGACAUCUAAUGGUACUUGUCUUUCUCUGUGUGACUGACAUCAACCACUCCAAGUCUCUGGUCGGGCCUAGCCUCUGGUCUCUAGAGCGUUUACAGGGACCCAGGUAAAUUGCUCUCUUUUGUAACCCCAUCACGCCUCCUCACUCAUUCUGACAUGUAAUGUCAUUUGACCUCUGUCAUAACGAGGAAAGGCAAAGUGAGCCAAGUGGAGAAUCUGUGAGACGUCUUAUAAGUAAACUUAGUAAACAUGCAGCAAACGAUUAGAGGCAAUUUCCAGAAAUAUAUCGCAUAUUAAGAUGCUGAGUAUCACUGAAGGAGAAUGAAUCUACUAGUUGGCUUUAGCCUGGGGGGCGGUGGGGGUCCUCUGAGGUAAUCUAUGGAGAUAGUUACUGGUUGGGUAUGAGGCUUGUGAGUACAAGGCUCUGACGUAUGGUGGGGAGGCAAGGAGACUGAAGACCAGUCUAAUAAUAUGCCUCAAAGUGGUAGGUAAUCAUCACGAAGAUGUUGUUUUCCUGUUUCAGUCCAAUUCGGACAGUUGUCUAUUUUAAGGGUCAGGAGAGGUGCGAGCAAAAUUCUAGGCAUCAGUGGCGAGGCGAGUGUCCGUUCCUCCUCUACGGUUUCCUCUCUUCUUAACCUUUAUUUCCCCAGUUUUCUGGAGAUAUUCUUGACAUGGACACGAUAAGUUUAAGGUGGGCAGCAUAUGCUGUGAUCUACAUAUGUGGUGAAGUGAUUACCACGAUAAGUCAACAUCCAUCAUCUCAUACAGAUACAAAAAAGAAAAGUAGAACAAGAAGAAGGGUUUUUCCCUUGUGCUGAGAACUUUUAGGAAUCUACUCUCUUAACAUUCCUACAUACCACGCGGCAGUGCGAACUAUAGUUAUCAGGUUAUACAUUACAUCCCUGGUACUUAUUUAUCUUGUAACUGGAGGUUUAUACCUUUUGACUGCCGUCUUCUGAAUCAUGAUUUUGUGCCAGAAUGAAUACUGGAUACAGAUAAGCACGAGGAGGGAACCAGGGAGCCCUGUGAAACACUAUGUGGGAUAACUCUGGGAAAAUGUUCUGUAGAGCAAAGAACAUUUAUCACCGAGACAGGGAUGGCCGCUGCUCACUGAAAUGGCACAUUCCUCUCUUCUUCCUGAGCACACAGACGCAGACAGCCAUGUUUUCCGGCCUCCCGUGUAGCUAGAUUCACCGUGGGACAGAGCCCUAGGCCAUGCCCAGGCGUGGUCUGUAGACAUCUCACGCACAUGCUUCGCCAAGCUCUCCUGGAUGACGAGGAUGAGAAAGACCACAGAGGCUUUGGAGAAAUUGUGUUGAAAAGGACAGAGCCUUAGUCAUCCUUGGUUAGUGAACCACCACCCGGCUCCUCGGAUAGGGGGAAAUCGCCCUCAUGAACAAAGAACACCUGCCUUGUCUUUUAUGUGAGCAAGAAAUAGUCUUCUAGUGCAUUUCCCUUGCUCUACAUUUAGGGUUCCAUUUGUUUCAGUAGCUGUGUCCCUACUUGUCUGUAAAGACCGUUUCUUGAGAGAAUAUAUGUGUAAUACGUAAUUACACUCUAUAAUUGCAAAGCAAACAAAUAAACUGUUAAAAGUCCCUUCUCUGUGGGUCUCU